GUACAGCAUGGCAUAGUGGUUUGGGUGUAAGACUACAACUCUGGAGACCAGGGUUCAAUUCCCAGCUUGGACA
rnacentral:tRNA from 1 species